ensembl:lncRNA
CACAGCUACAGCCUCCUGUUUCUACAGUAUACUGUAGCUAACACAGCUACAGCCUCCUGUUUCUACAGUAUACUGUAGCUAACACAGCUACAGCCUCCUGUUUCUAGAGUACCCACGUCCAUUCAGCUACAGCCUCCUGUAUUCUACAGUACCCACGUCCAUUCAGCUACAGCCUCCUGUAUUCUAGAUACCCACGUCCAUUCAGCUACAGCCUCCUGUUUCUACAGUACCCACGUCCAUUCAGCUACAGCCUCCUGUAUUCUACCGAGGGUCGAGUGUCUGUCUGUUUUUGUUUUUCCCCAAUUCAAUUAAAACCUAGACAACCAGAUGAAGGGAGAUCCUAAUUAAUUAGUGACCUUAAUUCCUCCAGCAAGAACGAGGGUUGGAGCGAAAACCUGCAGACACUCUGUCCUCCGUGCAAUGAGUUCGUGGUCUGUUUGCUACUGUGUGAAAUCCUGCAAUGUGGCUUUGCUUGAAUUCCUCCCCGUUUCUCCAUCCCUCAAAAGAUGGCAGACUUUUUAAAAACUCUGUAUGAAUACUGUCAGAGCCGUAGUCUAGCCGGUGUAUGGCUUAUGAACCUCUCUCUAUAACACGGGCUGAAUACUGUCAGAGCCGUAGUCUAGCCGGUGUAUGGCUUAUGAACCUCUCUCUAUAACACGGGCUGAAUACUGUCAGAGCCGUAGUCUAGCCGGUGUAUGGCUUAUGAACCUCUCUCUAUAACACGGGCUGAAUACUGUCAGAGCCGUAGUCUAGCCGGUGUAUGGCUUAUGAACCUCUCUCUAUAACACGGGCAUAGGCCUGUAAUAUAUUCAGACGCUGCAUUUCAUUUAAUACAACAUGUUGACUUUAAAAAUAAUAAAAAGAAGAAGAAGAAAAUGUAUUUUUUCCAGAAAAGUAUUUUUAGUUUUGUUACCUUUUCCACCUGCGGUAAACGUCGAUUCACACAUACAUGUCCAAACACACGUGUCCAUCCAUACGUACACAGUCCAGUUAACCUCCAGGGGUCUUUCUGUGUUGUGUAUAGAGGGACCUCCUUUAUAGAUCCCUUCUGUCUCCUUCCCCGAUGACGAGCUGUGCUGUUUGGAGAGAGGGCUCCACCUAGAGGCCAAGUGGAGGAAUGACCCCGGGAGUCAGAGGCAAGAGGACACAAACUGUACUCUCUCUCACCAAAGUGUCUCGGAUUGCAAAAUUCCCAGUAGCUCUCAAUGAUACUAUGUUAUGGGAGAGAACAAUAAACGAUGUAGACAGGAUUAGAUUAGACCAGGUUACCCUCCUCUGUUUUAUGGCUUAGAAUGUGCCUAACUGUAACUUAGAGACCCCAACUUCCUGUUUUAACGUUGACAUGUGAAAUGUGAUGCUAGGAGGAACGUUUUCCCGGACACAGAUUAAAGCCCACUUCGUCCUCCUUCUCCAUUGAACGUGUCUCGUAGUCCGGGAUUAUAGGCUUAAUCUGUGUUGGGGAAACGGGUCCUGUGACAACCGUGUAUGUGUGUGUUUUCCCCAUUUCCUGUCCUGUCCUCACAGACCGACUGCCUCUUCUUUAACUACUGAUCAGCUGUCUGUUUUUAGACCCGGAUCACUAGAUCAUCUCCCACUGUCGUCCAUUCAAAAGGUACAUCGAUUCCCUCAUUUACAUACCUAGUGGUGACCUGGUACACAGCCUCUUCCGCUGUGGGCUGCCUAUAACAUACAUACAUACAUACACACACACACACACUGGUGACCUGGUACACAGCCUCUUCCGCUGUGGGCUGCCUAUAACAUACAUACAUACAUACACAUACAUACAGACAGACAC